UCUAUUUCUUUCAGUUAUUUUUCUCGAUUUUUCCUUGAUUAAAAAUCGACGUGAAGAAAAUCCAGAUCCCAUAGAUUGAAGAAGGCGAAGGAGCAGAAGAAUGGGUUAUGUGCUGAGAGUGAGACUCGCAUCUUUCUUCACCGGAGCUGCUCUGGCAUCUGCUGCGGGUAUUUAUUUUCUUCACAAGGAUUAUAAGAUUGCACAUCACUCUAUGUCUCAACAGAUGAAUAGUCUUUAUGAAUCUUUGGAUGGACGUUUAUCAGCUAUAGAGAAGUUGAAAGAAGUUGAAGCAACAAAGCAUGCACAAUCGACAGAAUAAAAGUUCUAGCCAAACUUCUAUAAGCAAGCAAGAAUAGAAGACUUGUUGAAUACUCUGCCUCUUGAAAUAAGACUUAGGUUUAGUUUGUUUGGGAAGUUGUGCUCACUAAUUUUGACAGCUUCCAGAGGACACUAUGUUUCAGAUAUCACCUGAAACAAGAUGAACGUUUAUGUAUUCUCGACUUAUAACUUGUACCAUGUUGCUUCAUGGUCGAGAAAUUUGUAAUGAAUCUUGACUGUGUGACUUAAUAUUCAGAUUUACUCUUUGCCACAAUGAUGUGGACCAUUAUUUGAA